rnacentral:lncRNA from 1 species
UUCAGUAUUUUAUUUUAUUGAUUCAAUAAUUGCAGCGUUGAUAUUUUAUAUUACUGUUGUUUCUAUAAUUAUCACUACACAGUAUUUUCCAUUAUCGGAGCAAUAAUUCAUACUAUCUGAAUAAUAUUAUGAGAUAACAUUAUUGACAAUGUCUAAAAAGUUCUGUCUAAGGAGAGGUUUGGUCACCUAAUUGCGCGUCAGUAAGGAGAAAUCCUUAUUGGAAAGCCCCAUCUUUCCUGGGAAUUGUCUGGUUGUCAGUAUUGUGAUUCUGUAAUAUUAUUUGUGAAUAAUUAAUUAUUGAUUUAUAUAAUGAGGAAAAUAUUCAUUUUAAGUGGAUAUAGAUGGAGAAAAUUUUUAAAGUGACAAUUGUUGAAAAUCGAUAUUUUAUCUUUUCUGAUAAAAUAAUAUUUUAUUAUAUUAUUAUAAUAUAAUAAUGAUGAUAUUUUUUACAAUGAAUGUGGGAUAUAUGAGUAUAUGAGGAGGAAGAGUAUUUUUGUUGCAAAAGUUGUUUAAAACAUGUUAAACAUGUUUGUGGGCCCAUUUCUUGACUGAAAUUUGAUUAUAGCCUGUAAAAUCGUCCGUAUGUGAAUUUCGGUCAAUUUUUGUUUGGAAUUUGGAAAACCUUUCUUCUGCAAAGUUGUAGAGAAUUGAAUUUCCUAUAGAAGGACAUAAGAAUCGAAUUUCUCUGAUAAAAGGGCUAUUUAUUGUGAAUUAUUGAAGUUCCAAAAUAAUUGAUUUUAUUUUUUUUGGAGUUUUAAAUAAUUUUUAUAUGAAAAACGUUUUUG